GCUCCUGCUAUUAUGCCCGUGCCAAGGAGUGAUCGCCGGACCGGUGCGUUUUACGCACAUCUUUUCCCGAAAUAUCCACCCUGCUUAACGAAUCUCUGCUGUCGCCAGCCUGAGCUGAAGGUGACCUGUUGGCUGGGCCAGGGGCUGCAACACAGGACAUGGGUCCAGCUUCCCUAUCUCCCCUCGUGUCUUGUGUUGCAGCCAGUGGAGCAGCCUCUCUUCAGGUCUGUCGAACGCUGAUGGACCAGAACAGAUGGAUCCCAAUAAUGAUGGACCUGUAUACCCUGCUCUUCACUUUACAGCUAGCGUGUGCCUUAUUUUGUCAUUUCUACUGUAGUUCUAGGUCUAAAUAUCUUGUUUUCUCACAGUUUAAAAUCAAUAAAGCACUUUAAGAAAACAUUA